GUCGGGAAUAUUGCGCAAUGGAGGGAACUCUGACGCAGUGACGCCGCGUAUAGGAAGAAGGUUUUCGGAUUGUAAACUAUUGUCGUUAGGGAAGAAAAAAGACAGUACCUAAGGAGGAAGCCCCGGCUAACUAUGUGCCAGCAGCCGCGGUAAUACAUAGGGGGCGAGCGUUAUCCGGAAUUAUUGGGUGUAAAGGGUGCGUAGACGGGAGUUUAAGUUAGUUGUGAAAUCCCUCGGCUUAACUGAGGAACUGCAACUAAAACUGAAUUUCUUGAGUGCGGGAGAGGGAAGUGGAAUUCCUAGUGUAGCGGUGAAAUGCGUAGAUAUUAGGAGGAACACCAGUGGCGAAGGCGACUUUCUGGACCGUAACUGACGUUGAGGCACGAAAGUGUGGGGAGCAAACAGGAUUAGAAACCCCAGUAGUCC
rnacentral:rRNA from 1 species